rnacentral:rRNA from 1 species
AUUGAACGCUGGCGGCAGGCCUAACACAUGCAAGUAGAGCUGAACGGCGGACGGGGGAGUAAUGCCUAGGAAGCUACCUGGUAGUGGCGGCUAACGUCCGGAAACGUGAGCUAAUACAGCAUACUAUAAGCGGAGCCUAGGUCGGAUUAGCUAGUUGGUGGUGUAAAGGCCUACCCAGGCGACGAUCCGUAACUGGUCUGAGAGGAUGAUCAGUCACACGGGCACGUAGACACGGUCCAUAAUCGUACGGGAGGCAGCAGUGGGUAGUAUUUGACAAUGGGCGAAAGCCUGAUCCAGUCAGGCCGAGUGUGUGAAGAAGGUCUUCGGAUUGUAAAGCUCUUUAAGUUGGGAGGCGUUACCAACAGAAUAAGCACCGGCUAACUUCGUGCCAGCAGCCGCGGUAAUUC